UGCCAGCAUCCGCUGUAAUCCUGAAGGUGCGAUCGUUAAUCGGAAGUACUGGGCGUAAAGCGCAUGCAGGCGGUUGAUUAAGCGAGAUGUGAAAGCCCCGGGCUUAACCUGGGAACUGCAUUUCGAACUGGUCAACUAGAGUCUUGUAGAGGGGGGUAGAAUUUCAGGUGUAGCGGUGAAAUGCGUAGAGAUCUGAAGGAAUACCAGUGGCGAAGGCGGCCCCCUGGACAAAGACUGACGCUCAGACGCGAAAGCGUGGGGAGCAAACAGGAUUAGAUA
rnacentral:rRNA from 1 species